CUUUACUGUAGCCUGGUAUUGGGUUCGGGCUUUGACUGCGCAGGAUAGGUGGGAGACUAUGAAGCUGCCCUUGUGGGGGCAGUGGAGUCAUCAGUGAGAUACCACUCUGUCAAGGCUAGAAUUCUAACCGUCUGCCGUUAUCCGGCGACGGAACAGUAUCAGGUGAGCAGUUUGACUGGGGCGGUCGCCUCCUAAAUGGUAACGGAGGCGCGCAAAGGUUCCCUCAGGCUGGUUGGAAAUCAGCCGAAGGGUGUAAAGGCAGAAGGGAGCUUGACUGCAAGAGCAACAACUCAAGCAGGGACGAAAGUCGGCCUUAGUGAUCCGACGGCGCUGAGUGGAAGGGCCGUCGCUCAACGGAUAAAAGUUG
rnacentral:rRNA from 1 species